GGUUUCUGUAAUCAAGAGAUAACCAAUCUCUUUCAUCAAUUCCCUUCUACGGUGUAAUCAACCACCGUUGCUCCCAGCCGCCGUCAGAGGGGAAGCCUCGGCUGAUAGUUCCCAUGUUACCACCCCUGGCGAUUGUGGCGAGUUGGAGUUAGAUGAGCCCGUUGUUUCGGAGGAAUAUCUUACCGCCGCCCCGGAGAAAGGUCGGGCGCCGAUGCAGACGCUGGUAAUAUUGUCCGUCCACCGAUAACAUCAUUAUUUUACCCAUAUUAGCUAUAGUUUUCAUAUGUAUUUAAGACUAAUUUAAUGAGAUUUCGGGUAUAAAAGGUCUAUUAUCAAGUAUUUCAGGUUUCAAGAAGGUUUUACAGGUUUUAUAGCAAAAAGACCAAAAGACAAGGAAAAUACGUUUUAGGAAAGUUUCAUAGCUUUACAGUACGGGCCACUUUUGAAGACCUUCCACAACUCAAAAUAUAUCAUGCUUGGUAUCUAUGGAAAGCUGGAAGAAUCAUUCUUUCUCCUCAAAGUGGAAUCAAGUCAAUCCAUUCAUUCAUCCGGAAAUUAUGCCAUAUUUACCGAGACGUGUUAUAAAUCGACGUGAAGAGAAGCAACCAGACGAUGACCAGCGACCAUCACCACGGCCCAGUCCAAGCCUCCUCCACGGUCCCGAAGCCUCCUUCGCCGCCCCUUGUCCUGCACUUAAGAAGAGAAGACGUUUCUACCCUUACAAAAUCCUAAUCCUAAAACAAAACCCUAUAAAUACUCUUAAGACCUAGGGUUUUCAAGAGUGCAUCUUCUACAGCCCUUGGAGCCGCCCUAGCCACGACCAGAGAAACUCUUUCUCUCUCGCUCACCAUCUCUCUUGAAGCUUGAAGAUCUGCCAUCAAUCUUUCUUUCUACUCUUUCUAGUUCUUUCAUACUAUCAUUGCUUUUGGGAUCAAGUAACUUUU